rnacentral:rRNA from 1 species
AGUGAACGCUGGCGGUAGGCCUAACACAUGCCAGUCGAACGGCAGCACAGUAAGAGCUUGCUCUUACGGGUGGCGAGUGGCGGACGGGUGAGGAAUACAUCGGAAUCUACUUUUUCGUGGGGGAUAACGUAGGGAAACUUACGCUAAUACCGCAUACGACCUACGGGUGAAAGCAGGGGAUCUUCGGACCUUGCGCGAUUGAAUGAGCCGAUGUCGGAUUAGCUAGUUGGCGGGGUAAAGGCCCACCAAGGCGACGAUCCGUAGCUGGUCUGAGAGGAUGGUCAGCCACAUUGGAACUGAGACAGGGUCCAUGCUCCUACGGGAGGCAGCAGUGGGGAAUAUUGGACAAUGGGCGCAAGCCUGAUCCAGCCAUACCGCGUGGGUGAAGAAGGCCUUCGGGUUGUAAAGCCCUUUUGUUGGGAAAGAAAAGCAGCAGGUUAAUACCCCGCUGUUCUGACGGUACCCAAAGAAUAAGCACCGGCUAACUUCGUG